rnacentral:rRNA from 1 species
UACGAAGGGUGCAAACGUUGCUCGGAAUUAUUGGGCGUAAAGCGCACGUAGGCGGCAUUGCAAGUCGAAUGUGAAAGCCCCCGGCUUAACUGGGGAGGGUCACUCGAUACUGAUCGACUCGAAGGCAGAAGAGGGAAGCGGAAUUCCCGGUGUAGUGGUGAAAUGCGUAGAUAUCUGGAGGAACACCGGUGGCGAAGGCGGCAUCCUGGACCGACAUUGACGCUGAGGCGCGAAAGCCAGGGGAGCAAACGGG